AAAAGAAAAUCCCUUUCUCCUCAGAACUCCAUUGGAGGCUGUCUUGUAGCUUUCAAAGCUCCGAGGGGUUUUCUCUGCUGUGGCCUCGAUGCCAUUCCCAUCCCAGUAGCUCUCUCGGUACUGGGACGAUGCCGACCUCAGCUUCUUCUGCGAUUCCGAAGCCCUCCUCCGAGCUCGUCAGCCGAUUGACUGCCGCCGACGCCGCCGUGAAGCUGAAGGCAUUGAGAGACAUCAAGAACCAGAUCAUCGGUAACCGCACCAAGAAGCUGUCCUUCAUCAAGCUCGGCGUUGUUCCUCACGUUGCUGCAAUUCUCUCCUCCACUUCCGACCCCAACAUUCUCGUCCAGUCCGCUGCUGUUCUUGGCAGCUUUGCCUGCGGCGUCGACGCCGGUGUCUCCGCCGUUCUCGAUGCCGGAGCCUUCCCUCGACUGCUUCGAUUGCUUGCUGAUCCCGAUCCCAAGGUUGUGGACGCAGGAGCUCGUUCAUUAAGGAUGGUUUAUCAAUCAAAGUUGGCUCCCAAGUAUGAUUUCCUUCAGCAGGAAAACACUAAAUUUCUUCUUUCAUUAUUGAAUAGUCAAAAUGAAAAUGUGACUGGACUUGGGGCAAGCAUCAUUAUUCAUUCCUGUGACACAAUUGCGGAGCAGAAGGCAUUGUGUAAUGGUGGAGUUCUAGAGAAGCUGAUUGAUCUUCUUGAUGGUUCUCUAAGUCAAAGGGAUGCUAGUUUAGAGUCUAUUGCCACAAUAUUUAAAAAUAAUGUCGAAGCAAUAGCAAAGUUCAUGCAACCUGGUAGAGAAGAUUGUUUGAGUUAUAUAAUUGAAUUGAUGAAGGAUAGAAAUCCCAAGACAAGAUUGCUAGCUUGCGUCUGCUUGAUUGUUAUGAGGAAUUCAUCACCUUGUUAUCUACAAGAUAUAGGAAUCAAAAUGAAAUUGAUACAUAGUUUGCUUGAGCUUCUUGAUAAUCCAGGUCAAGUUGGAGAUGAAGCUUCCUUCGUUUUUUCGACUUUAAUUGCUGAGAAGGAGGAGCUACAGAAACUAGCUUUUGAGGCAAAUGCAAUUGAUAAGUUGUACAAUCACUUGCAAAAGGAUCAGUUGAGUCCUAGACGUUUCCAAGGAAUAUUGUUGGCCUUUUCUCAUCUAUGCUCAAAGUUGGAGAGCUGUAGGUCUAGAUUUCUCUCUUUGCAGGUAAUGAACAUAGUGAUUGAUGCCCUACAACAUGAAAGUAGUGACAUACGUAUUGCAGCUUGCACUUGCUUGAGAAGUGUCUCUAGAUCAAUCAAGAAUUUGAGUGCAGGUUACUUUAUGAACGAAACAGUUGUCCUUCCCGUUGUUCAGCUUUUACACAGUCCUUCUAAUGCUGUUCAGGUUGCAGCACUUGGUGCUCUUAGCAACAUAGUUGUCGAAUUUUCAACAAAGAGAUCAAUAUUUAUAGAAUGUGGAGGUGUUAAAGAGCUGGUUCGAUUAUCAAAGUCUAUGGACUUGGACAUAAGGCUAAAUGCAUUGUGGGCUUUAAGGAAUUUAAUGUUCCUUGCAAACAGCAUGUAUAAAUCAGGGAUCUUCAGGGAGUUAACAGCUUCCUUGUUAGCCAGCCUUGUCUGUGAUCCAGAGCCUUCCAUACAAGAGCAUGCUAUGGCCCUUGUGCGCAAUCUUAUCAAUGGAUGUGAGGACUCAAUUGAGUACGCGUUUGCUGAAGAUGGUAUCAUAUUGAAUACUAUUUGCCGGCAAUUGAAAAGUAUUUCAAGGGAUGAAAUUGGGGUCCAGGGAAUGUAUGUACUUUGUAAUGUUGCAAGUGGAAAUGAGUUCCAUAAGGAAAGGCUAAUGAAACAACUAUUUCCACAUGGAGAUGACGUGAUCCAGUCAUUUGUGGUGAAGUUUUUGCAGAGUGACAACAGUCAACUUCGAAUAGCUGCUGUCUGGGUAAUAAUAAAUCUUUCUCUGCCUUCAAGUCCACGUGCACUAGAUAGGGUUACAAAGCUACAGAAUGCUGGUAUUGUUUCUCAAAUGAAGAAUAUGGUCAAUGAUCCGUGCCUGGAUGUUAAGCUCCGUGUGAGAACCGUGCUUGGACAACUAAUGGCUUUUGGUGAUGGUAUUACAUUAUAAAAUUUCCAUCAUCAAAACCCAAGAGAAGUAGAGCGCUGCUAGCAGCUUUGUUUUUCAUCCACCUUUUCUGUAGUAUAUUGUUGAGUUUUUGAUCGGCGGCUUUUGAUCCAUCUGGAAAACAUGAAAGCUCCAGUAUAUUCCACGGGCGGCUCUUGAUCUCUAGGUUACUCGUACAAAUCUUUUUUGGAUGCAUACCAGCCACUUUUGGUGGCAAUUUUGAUCUCUCUCUCUCAAAUUCUUCUUUUCCUUCUUUUUGAAAUCAAAUGGCCGUAUGAUUAGUUUGGCUUGAAGUGUAAUAUAAGACUCGUAAAUAUUGCCUAUCAAAAGUUCCAUUAUUCAUCAGGUUAUCUCAACUGCUGUUCCGUUUCGAGUGUUUAGUAUCUAGGCAACAAAUUGUCGCUUUCAUACAUUGUUCCAGCGGUUACCAAAACCCAGUACCAUGCGUCUUUACGGGAAAUAUAUCCUGAAGCCUUGUUAAGGAAAAACACCGCAAUCCAAAUGAAUGACUGUUUAGCUAACAUGUACCUUUUCAGGGAUAGCUUAUAUUAUUCAAGCAUCCAAGGAGAGUAAUGCAAUUUUGGCUGAUGUCUCCUUUCCUUCGAACAGAUGCAAACUUCCAAGUAAUUGUUGUUAUAACAUGGUCCAGAUACUAUACUUAAUCCCCCCUUGUUUCCAAUUUAAUUUGUGUUGAUUUGGAAUAGUUGAUGAAUAUGAUUUAAGUUCUAUCAAGGCCAUUUAUAUAAACAAAUUGAGAAAAUCAUAUGAAUCAGUCUUUUGAGCUUAAAUUUGCAACUCUUAUGUUAGAACAUGGGAAAAGCUUGGAGGGUCUGUUGUGGUGUUGAUCCAUAUUUAUUCCACAUAAAUGUGGCUUUUGGGAGAAGAAGCAUCAUUAUUCUAUGAUCCAGGAGAAAGGGAUGCACUUGAGUCAACUAGAUUGCUUAUAUUCCAACUUGUGUUAAUAGUAAUGGUCCAGUUCAUUGUUUUCCAACUUUUUGUUUAUCAAUAGUAAAAAUGAAACGUUGUUGAAGCAGCAGAAUUUCAGAUGGUUAAAUUAGAGUAUUGUUGUUGAUUAAUAGAACAUAAUCUCUAAUGAUUCGUCAUAAUUGUGGACAGGCCCCUUCUAUGGUUGAAUCCUCCAAGUGGCUUGUUUGAAGUGCUGGAUAGUUGAUGGAAUAACGCACUGGGCUCUGUUUUACAGUGUACAAAGAUGCAAUGUUCGAGGUACAUAGUACAUUUUACAGUUGAAUUGACUUCAAUGAUAUAUUUACACAAAAUUAGUGUUUGCUUUGAUCACAA